UACGAAGGGGGCGAGCGUUGUUCGGAAUUACUGGGCGUAAAGGGCGCGCAGGCGGCCUUAGAAGUCAGAUGUGAAAGCCCCGGGCUCAACCUGGGAAUGGCAUUUGAUACUCUGAGGCUGGAGUACGGGAGAGGAGAGUGGAAUUCCCAGUGUAGAGGUGAAAUUCGUAGAUAUUGGGAAGAACACCGGUGGCGAAGGCGGCUCUCUGG
rnacentral:rRNA from 1 species